GAUGAACGCUGGCGGCGUGCCUAACACAUGCAAGUCGAGCGAACCCUUCGGGGUGAGCGGCGGACGGGUGAGUAACGCGUGGGUAACCUGCCCUGUACACACGGAUAACAUACCGAAAGGUAUGCUAAUACGGGAUAACAUAUGAAAGUCGCAUGGCUUUUGUAUCAAAGCUCCGGCGGUACAGGAUGGACCCGCGUCUGAUUAGCUAGUUGGUAAGGUAACGGCUUACCAAGGCAACGAUCAGUAGCCGACCUGAGAGGGUGAUCGGCCACAUUGGAACUGAGACACGGUCCAAACUCCUACGGGAGGCAGCAGUGGGGAAUAUUGCACAAUGGGCGAAAGCCUGAUGCAGCAACGCCGCGUGAGCGAUGAAGGCCUUCGGGUCGUAAAGCUCUGUCCUCAAGGAAGAUAAUGACGGUACUUGAGGAGGAAGCCCCGGCUAACUACGUGCCAGCAGCCGCGGUAAUACGUAGGGGGCUAGCGUUAUCCGGAAUUACUGGGCGUAAAGGGUGCGUAGGCGGUCUUUCAAGCCAGAAGUGAAAGGCUACGGCUCAACCGUAGUAAGCUUUUGGAACUGUAGGACUUGAGUGCAGGAGAGGAGAGUGGAAUUCCUAGUGUAGCGGUGAAAUGCGUAGAUAUUAGGAGGAACACCAGUAGCGAAGGCGGCUCUCUGGACUGUAACUGACGCUGAGGCACGAAAGCGUGGGGAGCAAACAGGAUUAGAUACCCUGGUAGUCCACGCCGUAAACGAUGAGUACUAGGUGUCGGGGGUUACCCCCCUCGGUGCCGCAGCUAACGCAUUAAGUACUCCGCCUGGGAAGUACGCUCGCAAGAGUGAAACUCAAAGGAAUUGACGGGGACCCGCACAAGUAGCGGAGCAUGUGGUUUAAUUCGAAGCAACGCGAAGAACCUUACCUAAGCUUGACAUCCCAUUGACCUCUCCCUAAUCGGAGAUUUCCCUUCGGGGACAGUGGUGACAGGUGGUGCAUGGUUGUCGUCAGCUCGUGUCGUGAGAUGUUGGGUUAAGUCCCGCAACGAGCGCAACCCUUGCCUUUAGUUGCCAGCAUUAAGUUGGGCACUCUAGAGGGACUGCCGAGGAUAACUCGGAGGAAGGUGGGGAUGACGUCAAAUCAUCAUGCCCCUUAUGCUUAGGGCUACACACGUGCUACAAUGGGUGGUACAGAGGGUUGCCAAGCCGUGAGGUGGAGCUAAUCCCUUAAAGCCAUUCUCAGUUCGGAUUGUAGGCUGAAACUCGCCUACAUGAAGCUGGAGUUACUAGUAAUCGCAGAUCAGAAUGCUGCGGUGAAUGCGUUCCCGGGUCUUGUACACACCGCCCGUCACACCACGGGAGUUGGGGGCGCCCGAAGCCGGUUAGCUAACCUUUUAGGAAGCGGCCGUCGAAGGUGAAACCAAUGACUGGGGUGAAGUCGUAACAAGGUAGCCGUAUCGGAAGGUGCGGCUGGAUCACCUCCUUUCUAAGGAGUAAUUACCUACUGUUUAAUUUUGAGAGUUUAUUAAUUCUCAAAAUUAGUACUUUGAAAACUGCAUAACAUUUAGUGAUGAUUAAAUAAACCAAUUAUAAGAGAAGACAACUCUUUAAAAAAUAACACUUUUAAUAACUGGUCAAGUUAUUAAGGGCGCAGGGCGGAUGCCUUGGCACUAAGAGCCGAUGAAGGACGCGAUAAGCUGCGAUAAGCUUCGGGGAGUUGCACGUAAACUUUGAUCCGAAGAUUUCCGAAUGAGGAAACUCACUUAGAGUAAUGUCUAAGUAUCAUUAAGUGAAUACAUAGCUUAAUGAGGGGAACCCGGGGAACUGAAACAUCUAAGUACCCGGAGGAAAAGAAAGAAAUUCGAUUCCGUAAGUAGCGGCGAGCGAACGCGGAAUAGCCCAAACCAGUGAAGUUUUCUUUGCUGGGGUUGCGGACACAUCAUCAACGAAGAGGUAUCGUAAACGAAGAGAGUUGGAAAGCUCCGCUAUAAAGUGUAAUAGCCACGUAGUUGAAACGAGAAGACUUUAGAUGUGAUCCAGAGUACCACGGGACACGUGAAACCCUGUGGGAAGCAGGAGGGACCAUCCUCCAAGGCUAAAUACUACUUAGUGACCGAUAGCGCAU
rnacentral:rRNA from 1 species